CCGCUGGUGUAUCAGUUGUGCCCCAGGUGCACCGCUGAGUAGCUAUGUUUGGAUGAGAUAAGCGCUGAAAGCAUCUAAGCGCGAAACUCACCUCAAGAUGAGACUUCUUUAAAGGAACCAUAUAGAUGAUGUGGUUGAUAGGCUACAGAUGUAAAGGCAGUAAUGUCAUAGUCGAGUAGUACUAAUUAUCCGUAGCU
rnacentral:rRNA from 1 species